UGACUGCUAUCGGAUUGAUACUAAGCCAUGCGAGUCAUUGUAGCAAUACAAGGCAUACGGCUCAGUAACGCGUAGUCAACCUAACCUAUGGACGGGAAUAACCCCGGGAAACUGAGAAUAAUGCCCGAUAGAACACUAUACCUGGAAUGGUUUGUGUUCCAAAUGAUUUAUCGCCAUAGGAUGGGACUGCGGCCUAUCAGUUUGUUGGUGAGGUAAUGGCCCACCAAGACUAUUACAGGUACGGGCUCUGAGAGGAGUAGCCCGGAGAUGGGUACUGAGACACGGACCCAGGCCCUAUGGGGCGCAGCAGGCGAGAAAACUUUGCAAUGUGCGAAAGCACGUCAAGGUUAAUCCGAGUGAUUUGUGCUAAACGAAUCUUUUGUUAGUCCUAGAGACACUAACGAAUAAGGGGUGGGC
rnacentral:rRNA from 1 species